rnacentral:lncRNA from 1 species
CUCCCCUCCUCCUGUAGACUGUGGUCUGUGUUGGAUGUUGCUGUUCAGUCUGUGUCCUGUGUCUGCUCUCCUCUACUCUGCCUGCGUCUACUCCUUCUAUAGAACAACAGCUCCAACUGAGACUCAGGUUCCUCUGAACAGGACCACCACCAGGGGAAGUGACAGCAGAGAGCAGACUACAGUCAAAACCUAUACCAUCCAUCAAUACCAGCAGAGUGAGACCUAUACCAGCCAUCAAUACCAGCAGAAUGUGAGACCUAUACCAUCCAUCAAUACCAGCAGAGUGAGACCUACACCAGCCAUCAAUACCAGCACAGUGUGGGACCUAUACCAUCCAUCAAUACCAGCAGAGUGAGACCUAUACCAGUCAUCAAUACCAGCACACUGAGACCUAUACCAUCCAUCAAUACCAGCAGAGUGUGAGACCUAUACCAAUGUAGCUGGGAGGACAUUAUUUUUAAGAGUUAC